UACGAACCGAGCGAACGUUGUUCGGAAUCACUGGGCUUAAAGGGCGCGUAGGCGGGCAAGCAAGUCCGGGGUGAAAGCUUUCGGCUCAACCGGAAAAGGGCCUUGGAUACUGCUUGUCUGGAGGGAGGUAGGGGCCCGUGGAACUUCCGGUGGAGCGGUGAAAUGCGUUGAUAUCGGAAGGAACGCCGGUGGCGAAAGCGACGGGCUGGAUCUCUACUGACGCUGAGGCGCGAAAGCCAGGGGAGCAAACGGG
rnacentral:rRNA from 1 species